UACGGAGGGUGCAAGCGUUAAUCGGAAUUACUGGGCGUAAAGGGCGCGUAGGUGGUUAUGUAAGUCAGAUGUGAAAUACUUCAGCUCAACUGAAGAACUGCAUCUGAAACUGCAUAACUAGAGUACAGGAGAGGGAAACGGAAUUCCCGGUGUAGCGGUGAAAUGCGUAGAUAUAUGGAAGAACACCAGUGGCGAAGGCGGCUUACUGGACUGCAACUGACGUUGAGGCUCGAAAGUGUGGGUAGCAAACAGG
rnacentral:rRNA from 1 species